rnacentral:sRNA from 2 species
ACACGAUUAUAGUAUUUUAGAAUAAUGGAAGUUUGGUGAAAAUCCAACACGGUCCCGCCACUGUAAUAAGCAAAGAGUGCUUUAAGUCAGGUCUUUUAUCUAAAUUAAACUGGUACUGUUGUUUCGAGGCAAAAACAAUAGUCGCUUA